rnacentral:rRNA from 1 species
GAUGAACGCUUGCGGCGUGCCUAAUACAUGCAAGUCGAGCGGAGCGGGGACGGGUGAGUAACACGUGGAUAACCUCCUAUAAGACUGGGAUAACUUCGGGAAACCCGAGCUAAACCGGAUCCUUAUAGAGGGAUCCGCGCUGCAUUAGCUAGUUGGUAAGGUAACGGCGUACCAAGGCAACGAUGCAUAGCCGACCUGAGAGGAGGAUCGGCCACACUGGAACUGAGACACGGUCCAGACUCCUACGGGAGGCAGCAGUAGGGAAUAUUCGGCAAUGGGCGAAAGCCUGACGGAGCAACGCCGCGUGAGUGAAGAAGGUCUUCGGAUCGUAAAACUCUGUUAUUAGGGAAGCGGUACCUAAUCAGAAAGCCACGGCUAACUACGUGCCAGCAGCCGCGGUAAUUC